UGGAGGGUAGAUAUGCAUGAAAACCACAUGACCGCGUUGGUACUUAGCAGGACCAAGGUUACAUAACAUUACUAAUUCAUCAUUUUCUUUCAUUGAACGGCUAGUUGCUGUUGCCCUGCUGAAGCUGAGAAGAGGUCUGCUGCCUGCCAAGUGCCCAUGUCUCAAGUCGUUGUAGUAUUGUUCCCCUCAAACCUGUGGAGACAAGAUUUCUUAAAUAUGGCCAUGGCCCUCAAGAAAGAAGCCGAGACCAGAGACUGCGGAUGUUCAUUCGUGUUCGGGCAAAGAUAGGCCAGCCUUAACAAGCUGGGCUUCAGAUUGAGUCACCCCAUGCAACAAGCAGUUCCUACAGGGACCGUGAAAAGGUUCUCUGGAGCACAAGUCUAACUCGGUGCCACCACCUUUCUCCUGCAGCUUGUCUACCUACUCUGCUAACCAGGUGGGUCAAAGAAGGCAAAGGGAAA
rnacentral:lncRNA from 1 species